AUACGGAGGAUGCAAGCGCUAUCCGGAUUUAUUGGGUUUAAAGGGUGCGUAGGCGGUUUGCUAAGCGGGAGGUGAAAUGCCGGCGCUCAACGUCGGAAGUGCCUCCCGAACUGGUGGACUUGAAUGACUCUGCCGUGGGAGGAAUGUGUAGUGUAGCGGUGAAAUGCUUAGAGAUUACACAGAACACCGAUUGCGAAGGCAUCUCACGAAGGGUUGAUUGACGCUGAGGCACGAAAGCGUGGGGAUCAAACAGGAUUAGAUACCCUGGUAGUCCACGCAGUAAACGAUGAUGGCUAACCGCUGGGCUUAUCAGUUCAGUGGCCAAGCGAAAGCGAUAAGCCAUCCACCUGGGGAGUACGACCGCAAGGUUGAAACUCAAAUGAAUUGACGGGG
rnacentral:rRNA from 1 species